AGAACAAACGCUGGCGGCAGGCCUAACACAUGCAAGUCGAACGCCCCGCAAGGGGAGUGGCAGACGGGUGAGUAACGCGUGGGAACAUACCCUUUGGUUCGGAAUAACUCAGGGAAACUUGAGCUAAUACCGGAUACGUCCGAGAGGAGAAAGAUUUAUCGCCAAAGGAUUGGCCCGCGUCCGAUUAGCUAGUUGGUGAGGUAAAAGCUCACCAAGGCGACGAUCGGUAGCUGGUCUGAGAGGAUGAUCAGCCACACUGGGACUGAGACACGGCCCAGACUCCUACGGGAGGCAGCAGUGGGGGAUAUUGGACAAUGGGCGAAAGCCUGAUCCAGCCAUGCCGCGUGAGUGAUGAAGGCCCUAGGGUUGUAAAGCUCUUUCGUCAGGGACGAUAAUGACGGUACCUGAAGAAGAAGCCCGGCUAACUUCGCGCCAGCAGCCGC
rnacentral:rRNA from 1 species